CGGGGCGUAGCGCAGUUUGGCUAGCGCGCCUGAAUGGGGUUCAGGAGGUCGCGAGUUCAAGUCUCGCCGCUCCGACCA
rnacentral:tRNA from 2 species